AUUGAACGCUGGCGGCAGGCCUAACACAUGCAAGUCGAGCGGAUGAAGGGAGCUUGCUCCUGGAUUCAGCGGCGGACGGGUGAGUAAUGCCUAGGAAUCUGCCUGGUAGUGGGGGAUAACGUCCGGAAACGGGCGCUAAUACCGCAUACGUCCUGAGGGAGAAAGUGGGGGAUCUUCGGACCUCACGCUAUCAGAUGAGCCUAGGUCGGAUUAGCUAGUUGGUGGGGUAAAGGCCUACCAAGGCGACGAUCCGUAACUGGUCUGAGAGGAUGAUCAGUCACACUGGAACUGAGACACGGUCCAGACUCCUACGGGAGGCAGCAGUGGGGAAUAUUGGACAAUGGGCGAAAGUCUGAUCCAGCCAGGCCGCGUGUGUGAAGAAGGUCUUCGGAUUGUAAAGCACUUUAAGUUGGGGGGAAGGGCAGUAAGUUAAUACCUUGCUGUUUUGACGUUACCAACAGAAUAAGCACCGGCUAACUUCGUG
rnacentral:rRNA from 1 species